CACUAAAAAAUCCUGGGUUAUUUUUUCUACCCAAGUGCUGGGUUGAGCCAUUUGGGUAAAUUUUUUGGGUUAUUUUCUCAGUCUUGGGUAGUUUUUGGGUAGUUCUAUGUAACCCAACCGCUGGGUUAUUUUCUGGGUCGUUUUCACUGAGAGCUGAAUCAAUGCACCCCCUCCCCCACUCGGACGCAAUAACCCAGCUCAUUGGGUCAAAUCAACUCCGCGCAGGAUCAGCGCAGCGCGGGCUGACUGAAUUCGAGGUGGAGGUGGAUGCCACACACACGCUGUAAUAUUUGGAGAAAUAAGACCUGCUCUUGACUGUCCGUGGUGGCAAAUCCACAGCCUUUAGCUGGAGGUGACACUUUUAUCUCAUCUAAUUUGAAUGAUUGCCAUACAUUGAUCAUAAUAAAAUGACCAUAAACCAUAAAAAAAACAGCUGUUACUAUUAUUAAAAAGAUCCGGUAACGUUAUUGUGGUUAUACCCGUUUAGUUAAAGGGUUAACGUUACUUCACCCAAUAAUCAAAAUUAUGUCAUUAAUAAGUCACCCUCAUGUUGUUCCAAACCCGUGAGACCGUGAAACUGUCUUCCGAAGAUGAACGGAGGUCUUACUGGUUUGGAACGACUUGUGAGCAAAUUAUGAGCAAAGUGAAAUGUUAAGCAGUAUAAUUCAGGAAUCAGUUUGCAUGGAGUUUAGAAACAUCCAGGAUUUACUAGUUAAAGUGUUGAAAAGCUCUGAAGAGUAUUUCUGUUUUUAUGGAAACUAAUCCUUUUACAUGUAAAAAAUUUUCAUAAGCCUCUAUUUGAUUAACAGCAUUGCUAUUUCUUUGUCCAGUAGAAUCAACCGAUAUCUGAAGAGAGAGCUGAGGAAAUUAAACAAUGGCUGAGAAACAACACACAGCCCAUCAGCCAGGUGGAACAGUACAUCUGAAAAAUAUGUUUGAGGUCCUCCAUGAGUUUCCUCGGCUAACUACCUCAGGCAUGAUUGCACAGGACUUUCACAUUUUACAUUAAGAUGAAGCCCCAAAACUGUUUGAAAAAUGGCUGGUAUACUGACAGGAUCUUGCUUUUUGCGAAGCGAGAAGCAAAGCUUCCAUGUACAGCUGAAGAAAUGACAGAAGAUGCAAAGGGAAAUCUUGCACUAAAGCUAUUGCCUGUUUUGCUACCACCUCCACCCUACAAAAUUGGCAGAAAAACAAUCCGGCCCAGCAAUGAUGAAAGCAAAAAAGCUUUCAUUGACAUUCAGACUGUUGGAACAAAUAUGGUGGAGUACCUCCAGCAGGCUGAAGCAUCAAGACCUUACCCAUAUGUCCUGUAACUUGAAAAUGGACACAUUGCGUCGCGGGCAUUUGUCAUCCUCGCAGGAGAAGCUUUGAAACAAAGAACUAUUGUUUAAGGGGAAGUCAUGGCCUAAUGGUUAGAGAGUUGGACUCACAAUUUAAGGGUUGUGUGUUCGAGUCUCGGGCCGACAGGAAUUGUAGGUGAGAGGAGUGAAUGUAUAGUGCUCUCUUCCACCCUCAAUACCACGACUUAGGUGUCCUUGAGCAAGGCAUCGAACCCCCAACUGCUCCCCGGGUGCCGCAGCACAAAUGGCUGCCCACUGCUCCGGGUGUGUGUUCACAGUGUGUGUGUGUGUGUGUUCACUGCUCUGUGUGUGUGCACUUCGGAUGGGUUAAAUGCAGAGCGUGAAUUCUGAGUAUGGGUCACCAUACUUGGCUGAAUGUCACAUCACUUUCACUUCACUUCAUUGGGACAGUAAAUGUAUGUUUCAAAUCGUUUUAUGUUUUUGAUGUAAACUAACCGAAACAUUGUUUCUAUAUUAGGGAGUUUAUUCAUAAUAUUUUUGAGUUGGAGGGAAGUGAAUCCCCAACAGUGAAUUUUUUGCACUGGUCACUACAUUCUUGCAAGUAGAUUAUAAGAGGUUCUUUGAACAAACAGUGGUUCAAGAACACGAGGUAGCAUUUUAGUUUAAGUUUUAUUUGCACAUGAGAUUUUUGUUCUGUUUUUUUUGUAUAAACAACUGUUUUAUUGCUUGA